ACAACCAGGGCUUACGCUCUGGGGCAGGGCUACUCCAAGAGCAGUCCAUGGACAAGCUGGCCGUCUCUGAAAUGUCUGGUGCCAGUCCACCACAAGAUGGGGACACCGUGCCAGGAUGUAAAUCAACCACAUCAGGAUGCAACGCGAGAUCGUUCAGUCCAGGAAGAUGUGGACUCAGGUUCCACCAAGAAGGAGUUCUGCCUCCAGGUGGCGACGCAGAAAUUGUGCCUGAGUUUCCAGCCUUGGACUCAAGAUGCAACACCAGCUCUUGCCUGGGUUUCCAGCGCUGCAGACUUCAGGCCCUGGAGCCCUAAACCAUGCAAGCCAAUUCCUUAAAAUAAAUGCACCCUGCCCCCCA